rnacentral:rRNA from 1 species
GACCGUGCAAAGGUAGCAUAAUCAUUAGUUUUUUAAUUGAAGGCUAGAAUGAACGGUUGGACAAGAAAUAAUCUGUCUCAAAUUAAAAUAUUGAAUUUAACUUUUAAGUGAAAAGGCUUAAAUGAUCUAAAGGGACGAUAAGACCCUAUAAAACUUUAUAUUUUAAGGCAAGGAAUUAGUUUUAUUUAGAGGGUCAUUAUUUUAAAAUAUUCUGUUGGGGCGACAAGGAUAUAAAAUUGGAUAACUGUCUUUUAUUUUUACAAUAAUAUUUGGUUGGUUGAUCCUUGAAAGGAUUUAAGAUUAAGUUACUUUAGGGAUAACAGCGUAAUUUUCUUUGAGAGUUCUUAUCGACAAGAAAGCUUGCGACCUCGAUGUUGAAUUAAAAGUUCUUUAUAGAGUAGAGUCUAUAAAAGAAGGUCUGUUCGACCUUUAAAAUUUUACAUGAUUUGAGUUCAGACCGG